rnacentral:rRNA from 1 species
CCUACGGGAGGCAGCAGUGAGGAAUAUUGGUCAAUGGGCUUACGCCUGAACCAGCCAAGUCGCGUGAGGGAAGACUGCCCUAUGGGUUGUAAACCUCUUUUGUCAGGGCGCAAUUGGUGCUACUUGUAGCGUUAUCGAGAGUACCUGAAGACAAAGCAUCUGCUAACUCCGUGCCAGCAGCCGCGGUAAUACGGAGGAUGCGAGCGUUAUCCGGAUUUAUGGGGUUUAAAGGGUGCGUAGGCGGAAUGCCAAGUCAGCGGUAAAACCGCGGGGCUAAACCACGCUCCGCCGUUGAAACUGGCGUUCUUGAGUGGGCGAGAGGGAUGCGGAAUGCGGGGUGUAGCGGUGAAAUGCAUAGAUAUCACGCAGAACUCCAGUUGCGAAGGCAGCAUACCGGCGCCCAACUGACGCUGAAGCGCGAAAGCGUGGGUAUCGAACAGGAUUAGAUACCCCUGUAGUC